AUUGAACGCUGGCGGCAUGCCGUACACAUGCAAGACGAACGGUAACGGGCCUUCGGGUGCCGACGAGUGGCGAACGGGUGAGUAAUAUAUCGGAACGUGCCCAGUAGUGGGGGAUAGCCCGGCGAAAGCCGGAUUAAUACCGCAUACGACCUGAGGGUGAAAGCGGGGGAUCGCAAGACCUCGAGCUAUUGGAGCGGCCGAUAUCAGAUUAGCUAGUUGGUGGGGUAAAGGCCUACCAAGGCAACGAUCUGUAGUUGGUCUGAGAGGACGACCAGCCUCACUGGGACUGAGACACGGCCCAGACUCCUACGGGUGGCAGCAGUGGGGAAUUUUGGACACUGGUCGCAAGCCUGAUCCAGCAAUGCCGCGGGCAGGAAGAAGGCCUUCGGGUUGUAAACUGCUUUUGUCAGGGAGGAAAUCUUCUGGGUUAAUUCCUCGGGAGGAUGACGGUACCUGAAGAAUAAGCACCGGCUAACUACGUGCCAGCCGCCGCCGUAA
rnacentral:rRNA from 1 species